UUUCCCUCGCAACCACCCCCGAUCCCACCCGCAAUCCCCCGACCAACUGUCCCCGCCUCUGGCACGCCUGCCGGCCCCGCCUCCUUCCGGCUCACCGCCGCCCCAACCUCCUCUGGGUGCGGGGCCGUCCGUGCCCCAGCCUCCUUCCGGUGGCACGAGGCCGCUGCCGCCCCCGCCUCCUCCUGGCCUGCCGGCGACCCUGCCUCUUCUUGCCGAGGCCGCCGCCUCCUCCAGGCACGUCGCGCCCGUGCCUCCUUCCGGCGCGAGGCCACCACCUCUUCCAGGCACGCCAGUGCCCCUGCCUCCUUCCGACUCAAGGGCACUUCCGCCACAAGGAAGCAUUCCUCCUUCAUCCACUGCCCGAUGUGUCACCGCCCCCGAUGAUCCACUCCCCUCCUUUGGCUCCUAGUCGAUGAUCAUGGCCCAUCCUGCUACUUGCCUCCUUCCUCGCGUAUGCAUAAAAAAAUAGGUUGAAUUUCACCCUGCAUCCCCGACGUAGUGCUUCUUCGGCUCCUCCCCCGCUUGCUGCCAGGUCUGUCUCUCCUUCCUCCCCUGCUUGACGUCUUGUGCGGCGUUGGACGUGGCUACUUUAUGAAGUGAAGCCGGCCUUCGAGCACCGGCAGUUGCACUGCACCCUGCAAAAAAAGAACAGCCGCAAGUUCAGAAUCAGAAAAAUGAGAAGUUCAAGAAGAACAAAGGCACUGCCUUCACUCAUGUGCUUGCAAACUUCUAGGUUGUAGCUCGUAUGUUGUUUGCAACUAUCUUCAAUUUCUUCAGUAGCUGGUACACACUUUGCCAAAAUCUAGUAGUUUCAGAAUGGUAAAGUUGAUAGUUGGCCUACAAGGACAACCAUGUUGAUGGCGAUUGAAAAAGGAUUCUGAAAUAAUAUUAUUGAGAAUGAAGACCAAGUUUGAUAAUGCACGAUGUCAGAGGAUUCCAGGGCUUUCUCUGAGGUGGUUGAUGGCUUCCGAGAAAUGCGUUCAUAUCUCACAAGUUUCAGGGGUUCAAGUUCAUCUAUAUAAGAAGGAAUGCCAAUUUUGUUGCACAUCUGUGUGUGAAAGAGGCGCUGAAACUUGAUGUGCUUACUAUUUCUUUUCUUGUAACACCUAGGUACAUCACGUGGUUUCAAUCACAGUUAUUUUUGACUGCCAUGGCUUGACACCUCCUCCAUCUUGGUGCCACCGUCAUGACCUAGCCUACAUUUGCUGGUUGCUUCUAGCUGCGGUUGUUGCGUCCUGCCUUGCCAUCUAACUGAUGUUAGUGCGCUGCUGCCGCAGUUCAGCUAGAGUGGAAGAAAGAUCUCUUUGAGAGUUUAGCUGCUACUGUUGUCUUUAAUUUUUUGUUUUUGAACUUGUUGGUUAAAGAUAAUGAUGUUGCUUUCUACA